rnacentral:rRNA from 1 species
UACGGAGGGAGCUAGCGUUGUUCGGAUAUACUGGGCGUAAAGCGCACGUAGGCGGCGCCGUAAGUCAGGGGUGAAAUCCCGGAGCUCAACUCCGGAACUGCCUUUGAAACUGCGGUGCUAGAAUCCUGGAGAGGCGAGUGGAAUUCCGAGUGUAGAGGUGAAAUUCGUAGAUAUUCGGAAGAACACCAGUGGCGAAGGCGACUCGCUGGACAAGUAUUGACGCUGAGGUGCGAAAGCGUGGGGAGCAAACAGG